GGUUGGAUGGCCGAGCGGUCUCAGGACCAGCUUCUUCGCUGGAGCGUAACUUGCGGACUUCAUUGUCAGUAAUCUGGUCCGAAAGGGCAUGGGUUCGAAUCCCAUUCCAAUCA